UAGCCAUGAUGUGGACAAGUUAGCAAUAAUUCUUUAAAAUGUUCCCAGCACUGAAAGAAGGUUUCAUUUUCUUUUUGAGAAAAAUUCAUAAUAUUUCUGCGAAG